rnacentral:lncRNA from 1 species
GAGGAGCAGACUAAGGGCGGAGCCUCAUUAAAACCUUUUCACGGAAAACCCAUUGGGAAAAACCGUGAAAAGGAAAAAGAGUACUCGUCUAAACACAAGACGAAAGUAGGGAAGAGCUGAAGGAGAAUCAACUCUGAGAUUCAGAAUUUCAACGAAAAAAAAAAAAAAAAAACAACAACUGAGUCCCCUAAAGAAAAAGUCCCCGAAAAAAACAUAGCC